rnacentral:rRNA from 1 species
GUGAGGAAUAUUGGUCAAUGGACGCAAGUCUGAACCAGCCAUGCCGCGUGCAGGAAGACGGUCCUAUGGAUUGUAAACUGCUUUUGUACGGGAAGAAACACUCCUACGUGUAGGAGCUUGACGGUACCGUAAGAAUAAGGAUCGGCUAACUCCGUGCCAGCAGCCGCGGUAAUACGGAGGAUCCAAGCGUUAUCCGGAAUCAUUGGGUUUAAAGGGUCCGUAGGCGGUCUUAUAAGUCAGUGGUGAAAGCCCAUCGCUCAACGAUGGAACGGCCAUUGAUACUGUAGGACUUGAAUUACUGGGAAGUAACUAGAAUAUGUAGUGUAGCGGUGAAAUGCUUAGAUAUUACAUGGAAUACCAAUUGCGAAGGCAGGUUACUACCAGUGGAUUGACGCUGAUGGACGAAAGCGUGGGGAGCGAACAGGAUUAGAAACCCCAGUAGUCC